rnacentral:rRNA from 1 species
UACGUAGGGUGCGAGCGUUAAUCGGAAUUACUGGGUGUAAAGCGUGCGCAGGCGGCCGCGCAAGUCGAGUGUGAAAGCCCCGGGCUUAACUUGGGAAUUGCGCUCGAAACUACGUGGCUGGAGUGUGGCAGAGGAAGGUGGAAUUCCACGUGUAGCGGUGAAAUGCGUAGAGAUGUGGAGGAACACCAAUGGCGAAGGCAGCCUUCUGGGCCAACACUGACGCUCAUGCACGAAAGCGUGGGGAGCGAACAGG